CAAGUACUCCCUCCAUCCCAAAUUACUUGUAGCCCAAAUGGAUGUAUCUAGACGUAUUUUUAGUUCUAGAUACAUCCAUUUAUGUGACAAGUAAUUCGGGGCGGAGGGAGUAUAUC
rfam:Triticum aestivum genome assembly, contig: Triticum_aestivum_CS42_TGACv1_scaffold_602645_7DL